UACGUAGGGUGCGAGCGUUAAUCGGAAUUACUGGGCGUAAAGCGCGCGUAGGCGGCUUUGCAAGUCGGGUGUGAAAUCCCCAGGCUUAACCUGGGAACUGCAUUCGAGACUGCAUUGCUAGAGUAUGGGAGAGGGAAGUGGAAUUUCCGGUGUAGCGGUGAAAUGCGUAGAUAUCGGAAGGAACAUCAGUGGCGAAAGCGGCCCACUGGAUCGGUACUGACGCUGAGGUGCGAAAGCGUGGGGAGCAAACAGG
rnacentral:rRNA from 1 species